UCCCCGUUGCCGGGGCAGUCUAGCCAGAGAAUUCAACUGACUAUAAGGGUUGCGCUCGUUGAGGGACUUAACCCUACAUCUCACGACACGAGCUGACGACGGCCAUGCAUCACCUGUCACCUAUCCAACUAAAUGAAGUUUUCCUUUCGGAAAACGGCUAUAGGGAUGUCAAGCCCUGGUAAGGUUCUUCGCUUACCGUCGAAUUAAACAACACGCUCCACCGCUUGUGCGGGUCCCCGUCAAUUCCUUUAUGUUUUAGCCUUGCGGCCGUACUCCACAGGCGGGAUGCUUAACGCGUUAGCUUCGCUACUAUCAGGGUCGAUACUGAUAACAGCUAGCAUCCAUCGUUUACGGCGUGGACUAC
rnacentral:misc_RNA from 1 species